rnacentral:rRNA from 1 species
AGCAGCCGCGGUAAUUCCAGCUCCAAUAGCGUAUAUUAAAGUUGUUGCAGUUAAAAAGCUCGUAGUUGAAUUUCGGGAUCAAUUAAUUGGUCGUGCCUCUGGUACGUACUGGUUUUAUUGGUUUCUCCCUUCUGACGAACCAUGAUGUCAUUAAUUUGGUGUCGUGGAGAAUCAGGACUGUUACUUUGAAAAAAUUAGAGUGUUUAAAGCAAGCUAACGCUUGAAUACAUUAGCAUGGAAUAAUGAAAUAGGACGUUUGAUCCUAUUUUGUUGGUUUCUAGGAUCGACGUAAUGAUUAAUAGGGAUAGUUGGGGGCAUUAGUAUUCAAUUGUCAGAGGUGAAAUUCUUGGAUUUAUUGAAGACUAACUACUGCGAAAGCAUUUGCCAAGGAUGUUUUCAUUAAUCAAGAACGAAAGUUAGGGGAUCGAAGACGAUCAGAUACCGUCGUAGUCUUAACCAUAAACCUAUGCCGACUAGGGAUCGGGUGAUGUUAAUUUUUUAAUGACUCAUUCGGCGCCUU